rnacentral:rRNA from 1 species
GACGAACGCUGGCGGCGUGCUUAACACAUGCAAGUCGAGCGGUAAGGCCCUUUCGGGGUACGACGAGCGGCGAACGGGUGAGUAACACGUGGGUGACCUGCCCUCAGCUCUGGGAGUAAGCCUGGGAAACCGGGUCUAAUACUGGAUAUGACUCCAUGACGCAUGUUGUGGGGUGGAAAGCCUUGUGCGGCUGAGGAUGGGCCCGCGGCCUAUCAGCUUGUUGGUGGGGUGANGGCCUACCAAGGCGACGACGGGUAGCCGGCCUGAGAGGCGACCGGCCACACUGGGACUGAGACACGGCCCAGACUCCUACGGGAGGCAGCAGUGGGGAAUCUUGCGCAAUGGGCGAAAGCCUG